rnacentral:lncRNA from 1 species
UCAUUUUGUCCUUGAAACAUUUAUUGAAAUACUGUAGAAUUCCAUUCAUCCCUAUGGAGGACUGCUCCUUCUGAGGAGCACCAAUAUGGUGGCCGGUGGCUUCAAAGUCUCUCAUUGGCCAUUACAUAGCAUCAGCAAACCAGGGUUUAUACACAUAAUUGGGUGAUUGAUACCCUAACUCCAAGCCAGCUCACCAACUGACAGAAGUGAAAGCACAGCACAAGCACAGCCUAGGAACUAGACAGAGGGGCUGUUUUGAGCGGCAUUCACAUCCACCAUCUUUAAAAACAAAUCUGAUUUUGCUGGCGGCGCUUCAACGUACUUGACAUUUCACGCCACGGGUAACAGUUUAGUGACAACCAAGGGCCCUUUGGCUCCUGUUAUUUUGGAAAGACAACACUGCAAUGAAGUGUGCUAUUAUAUGUAGCAUCCAGCCAAAGAAUUCCAAUAUGAUUCAGCUGUCGGCAGUCUGGAAUAGUGGCAACCUCGAUGAACAACAUUAAAACCGCUAAGAGGGGCUCAGUGCUGCAAACGCGUGGAGAAUCCUUAAAAAGACGGAGAGGAUAAAUAAUGAGUCCCAAAUGCGAAAUGCCACCCCAUUCCCUAUAUAGUGCACUAGUUUUGACCGGGGCCCAUAUGGCCAUAGCCAAAAAGUUGUGCACUAUGUAGUGAAUAGGGUGCCAUUUGGGACGUAAACAUCUCCAGUAUACAGGCGGGAGCUAAACCAAAACAUCUGCACCAAGGAUGAGACACCUCAUUUAAAACACUUUCCUCUCCGUUAUUGACAUUGGAGGGAACAUAUUGAACUUCCAUAAUAAAGCCAUUAAAAAUGUUUUGGUGUACUAUUUCAACAUUUUAGUUAAACUACUGAGUUUUAGGGGCAGGCUUUACGGUUCAUUCACACGAGGCAGAUUAUUUGAAAGCUUUCCAGUACAAUAGCGUCUGAUCUACACAGGGGUCUACGUCAUCUGGGAGGCUGGAAACCUAAAUCCGAGACUAUUUUAAUUAAGAAUGGAUGAACCGGAGGAGUCACAUCGUCAGCGUUAAAUAUUCUACAGUGCAGACUUCACUACCUUAAGGAAACAUCACUUACAUGUAGAGGCUGGAUAUUUCUCAAAACACAUUGGAUUAAAACUUUAGAGUGGGACCUUGGACCUUCUCCAAUACGUUUGAGAGGAAGGUGAGGAGAUAGGAUUCACGGAAAACCAGUGUCCCCCCCCCCCCAACUUUACUGGCACUUCCUGUCCUGUCCACAUGGGGGAUGUAAAGACAGAUCAACAUAAGGCGGGGCUGUUGAAACAGAGCUGAGUUCAGCAGGGCACAACUUUGAGGAUUGUUCACAUAGAAAUAUGUUAUGUGGAACAAACAUGACUAACAUGUAGACUAAGGAACCAUGUCGUUUCUAUUCAGGACAUUUCUAUCUGCAACACUCCACAGCGUUGACAACUGAACGCAGUGCACCCCAGGAGGAUCUCCUAAAAAAACAUCCUCUUGAUUUCAAUAAGGAAUCAUAGGAGUCAUGAUAUAUGUACUUUUGUUUCUUUAAUAGUCACAGCUAAGAAUAGGAUAAAAAAAUAAAAGAUCAACGUUGUCUUGUUGAAAAGAAGAAUAAAAGAUGUGACUUACAGACAGGCUACCAUAGAUUCAGUGCAAAAACACUCCCCAGGUAAAAACUUUAAAAAAAAAACUUUAAAAAAAGGUAAAAACAAGAGAGUAAAGUGCAUGUUUUUUGAGAAACAGCCCCCUCUUUUUAAUUGUAAAAAUUACAACUGUUUUAGAAACCAUAAGGGGGGGGAUAAGCACCUACAGUAACAAACCUCCAGAGUCAGCAUUCACCUGAACACUAACAGAUUACAUAGAGUCCAACACAGCUAGUCAGUGCACACACACACACUACAGACAAGGGCCCAAGGGGGACAGUCUGGACAUAGUGCACAUGUCGGGCCUAGGACACCACACACACUCGCACGCAUUCACACUCAGACACCCUCGGCCUAGGGCCGAGUGCAGUGAGGUCACAUGGUGUGGUAGAGAACAGUGGCAGUCCGUUUCUUGUCGGCAGCCUUGCGGAGCCGCCGCAGCGGGUGACUCUUCCCGCGGGGUUGCUGCAGCGCGGUUGUCAUAGUGACGUCGGGAGCGCUCGCCGGGGACUGGGUGCGGGUGAGCCGGGGGGAGGGGUCUGUCUCUAGCUCCUCCUCCCCUUGAAGAACAAGACAUGGAGGUGAGGAGAGACAGGGAGGAUCACUCCCUGCACUCUGGGAGCCCCUAUCAGUCCUGUCUGAGUCCAGUGGGAACACCCCCCCUAGGGGGGCCCUGUAGGUGGUGGGGGGGCUGCGGGACAACACCCGCUGCUUCUUGGAGACAUCGUCUGGGCUGGGGUGAUGGUGGGAGCAGGGGUGAGGGGUGGGCAUCAAUGGGGGUCCGUGAGGGCUGGCGGUGGUGGGCCGUAGGUCCCAGUCACUCAGGUCGUUGGCUGACAGCUCCAGGCAGUCCAGCUUGGCCAGCGAGGCUGAGCGCUUCAUCAAGGAGGGGGGCGUGAGGCCCGCUUGGCGGAUCCGCGCCUCGAUCUCCAUGGCCCUCUGCCACACGGGAGUCUCCCUGUGAUGCUGCCCCUGACCAGGUCUCUCUCCAGCCCCCAGGCCCCCCGCCUCGUACAGGAAGGCCUGCAGCUCCCUCAGAGUCUCCUGGAUCUUCUCCAGCUCCUCACUGCUGCGUGCCAGGGCCAGCCUUCCAUCGUGGGGCGGGGGAGGGGAGGGGCCAUCCGUGUCUGAGUCAAGGGCCGUCACCCCCUCCAGCCACAGCAGUGCAGGGGGGGUCUGGGGCUGGACCCUAGAUGGCGCUAGAGAAGAACAUGCGAUGAUUGGGAUGGGCUCAGGGGUGUGGCUGGCAUCUGGGUAGUGAGAGAAGGAAGGGGCUGGGGCAACGUCCAUGUCUGAGACGACAAACCCUCCCUGCUCCGUCUCUCCUUUGGGCUCUGCCGACACAGUGAACGCCUCGUUCAGAGUUCUUCCUUGCUCAGGAUCAGGGGUAGGCCUACGCUGCUUGGGGCAGUCUGUGGUAGGAGCGAGGAGGGGUGGGCAGUCCGUGCUUGGCGUAUGGAGAGGGGAGCCCGUGGGGUGGAACUCUGCACUGGGAGAGUGGAGAGGGGAGCGUUGGGUAGACGUGUUGCUGAGAGCUAAGUCCAGCUCCUGCCUCAGCCUCUGCUCCAGCUGUUUGGUGGCCCUGCGCACCGAGCCGGUCGGCCAAUCCGACAGAGGCGUGGAGGGGGAUUGUGGGUAGGAGGAGGGCGAGGUCAAUGGGGUCUCCUCGUCCCGGUCGUCUGGGUGCAGCUGCUGGGGGCUGCGGGGGGCCGGCUGGCUGGAGGAGAGGGGCGCCGCCGGCGGGUGGGAUAUGGACUCUAUCUCCGUGACAAUAUGGCGGACUGACACCCCGUUCUCGUGAUGGGGAGGCGACGAGGCUUUUUCGUGACUGGCUCGGUCGCUACCGUCCUCCGUAUGGGGGGAACUCU